rnacentral:rRNA from 1 species
ACGCUCGACACCUACGGAGGCAGCAGUGAGGAAUAUUGGUCAAUGGGCGCUAGCCUGAACCAGCCAAGUAGCGUGAAGGAUGAAGGCUCUAUGGGUCGUAAACUUCUUUUAUAUAAGAAUAAAGUGCAGUAUGUAUACUGUUUUGUAUGUAUUANAUGAAUAAGGAUCGGCUAACUCCGCGCCAGCAGCCGCGGUAAUCUGAGCGGGCUGGCAAGGC